AGAAAGUUAGAAACCUUUCUCAAAAAACGAGCUGCUCUGGCUCUAUAGGAAAACAAGCAUACAUUAGGUUGCCAGCUGGUUAAGAGGAAAUAAUCCGCAAUUUCGGUUAAUUUGUUUUUGUGACUGUGUGGAACCCAGUUCAGCUACUGAUUGAUUGUGUGACUGCGGAAAUGGAUAAAAGCCCCCAUCCAAACAAUGACUAUCAUCAGUGCAGGCAGAGGUUAAGACAAGGAGCUAUAUAGGGAAGCAAAGUCCCACCCCACAAUAUAACCACUGGAAAUCUUCAUCCACCCGCCUGGUUUAUGAGAUUUCACCAGCAUUGCAGACAAAACUUAAAGCCCACCUUCACAAGACAUCUAAGAUGCUGAAGAAACAGGAUCCCUUGCACAGGAACACAGUAAGUUUUUCAGUCUGGCAUGGAAUACACACAAGCUGACUCUCAAGUCACACAGGUUCUUCCUUUUGUUAUACUUUAUGAACACCUACUCUCUGUUUGCAUCUGUUUCAAUCAUUUUUCAAGGUAUCAGAAAUAAUGGGGGGGCGGCAGAAAAAAGAAAAGCUCCCAUAUAUUUUCUGGGCCUCUGUAUCUCUCAUUGUAGAACAGCAGAAACAACAAGGUAGCACAUAACAUCCUUAUAACGCUAAAGCAAUAUCCCAGAAACCAUUUAAGUAAAUACACUUAGGGUUUGAACAGCUCUAAAAGCAAAGCAACCAUCUUCAGGAAUUGGCAUAAGGCUGUGCAAGUCAUGUAUCCUUUGGAAGAAGAUUACUGAAGCUCUCCUCAUGGAUUACUGAAUCUCUUGUCAGGGUUUGGGGUUGUGGGGAGAGACAAUCAAAGCAUCAAACCAAAAUGCUCAAAAACCAAACGGAAUCUGAAGCGAAGAGAAAAUUACUUGCGCAAAACAAUAUAAAAUUAUGAGUGCUGAGGGGGAAAGGAUACUAGAACAGGGUCAUCCAAUAAAACUGAUUUGGCAUAGGCCAAGGACAGGGAAAGGAACAUACUUCUGCACACAGCAUAUUAUUGCAGUGAAUUCAAUACCCAGAUGUGAUAACUUAGUAUUUUAAAAAAGAAAAGAGCAUUGAACAUGUUUAUGGAGAAGACCAUCAACUGCUAUAAGUGGAAAUUAUUCUUCCACAGUCUCUUACAUCCAUCUUUGGAUGUACACUUCUUCCAAGUUCUAUCCAGCAUUCUAUGUUGUUUGCUUCCUGCUGUUAGUUUUAGAUUGUGCACCCAUUGUAUACGGGGCCAUACCCUUCGACUUUUGAAACUGAAGGUCUCCAGUUACCAGAUAUUGGCACAAAGCAACAGGGAAUGAGAGUUGCCUUCAUCCACUGCUGGGAAGGGUGGGGCAUUCCAGGGGAUCUACUUGGCCAAUGCUGCAUCAGAAUGCUGGCCUAAAUAGAUCCAAUGUAACAUGGUAGCUGAAGUAUACAGAGAGCAGAAGCUGAUGCUGAGAAAAUAUAGCGGUACGAGAUAGGAACAAGAAAACACUGCCCUUAAGUGAAACACAGAGAGGCCCAGACAGAAGGUUUCAUACGUCUCACAAGCAUUCAGUUCAUUCAGCUGCUGAUCUCCCAAGGCGUUAUUUAUUUUUAAAACCUGUAUCCCAUCCAUCGCCCUGGGGGGUUCAUGGCUCCGGUGCUCUUCCACUGCCACCACUCACUUCAACCCCCACAACAACCCUGUGAGGUGGGUGGCUAGUUCAAGGUCACCCUAACCAGCUUCAGAACCAAAUAGUGGGGGAAUGAAGCCAGGAUUCCCACCCCCCUCACACACCAAGGUCCUAGUCUGAUCCUUUUAAUACCACCCCACAGGCACCUGAAAACAGACUGACGACGCCCUUACAUUCACACGCUUUCACCCACCCGACCGUAGGAGUCCUAACGUGCAUCAGUAAUUGGGGGGCGGCGGAGGGCAAGGAAAGGCGUGGGUUUGGUUUUUUUUGCCAAUUACGCCCAUUAUUCCGGGUUAGCUAAUCUGGAAUGAAAUGGGAAGAACGUUUGAGUGACAGGAACUGAGGACCAUACCAAAGGGAUGGGGGAGGGAAUGUCAUGAGCCGCCCCCGCCCCCCCCCCAACCAGGAAAGGGACAUCCCAGAGUUUGAAAUGAUUUGGGGGGUAUGCAGAGCAAAAGGGGCGGGGCCACAGCAGGUCUCUAUCUCUCUCCCCCUCCCCCACCGGGAAAGGAGGAAAAGCGGCCAAAAUGCCCCUCCCCCCCUACUGCCCACCGCCGGGAACGGAGACACAGAGGAAGGGCUCGGGGCGGAGAAGUCGGGUGAGGGGGUUACUAAUUUUUAUUUUAUUGGCUUCUCUCCUCACCUCC